GGAGGAGUUAGACAUAAAUCAUGGAAUGACCAACUAAUACAAAGUGGCAGCCCUGAGGGACAUAUAGGAAAAAGCACACAAUGAAAAGGAAGCAAUUUGAAACAAGAAGAUAACACUUCUAGACUUCUGAUGGUUUAGAACAGCCUGGAAAGUAUUGCUAGUGGUUACCUCUAGGAAAGAGAGGGACAUCAAGAAAGAGAAUGACCCACCCUCUUCAGAAAUGAAGCAAGGUUGGAAAGAGGCAGUCCGGGGGAAGAAGC